UACGGAGGGCGCAAGCGUUGUCCGGAAUUAUUGGGCGUAAAGAGCUCGUAGGCGGCUUGGCACGUCGGGUGUGAAAGCCCGGGGCUUAACCCCGGGUCUGCAUUCGAUACGGGCUAGCUAGAGUGUGGUAGGGGAGAUCGGAAUUCCUGGUGUAGCGGUGAAAUGCGCAGAUAUCGGGAGGAACACCGGUGGCGAAGGCGGAUCUCUGGGCCAUUACUGACGCUCAGGCGCGAAAGCGUGGGGAGCAAACAGG
rnacentral:rRNA from 1 species